GAUGAACGCUGGCGGUGUGCCUAAUACAUGCAAGUCGAGCGAACAGACGAGGAGCUUGCUCCUCUGACGUUAGCGGCGGACGGGUGAGUAACACGUGGAUAACCUACCUAUAAGACUGGGAUAACUUCGGGAAACCGGAGCUAAUACCGGAUAACAUGUUGAACCGCAUGGUUCAACAGUGAAAGACGGUCUUGCUGUCACUUAUAGAUGGAUCCGCGUCGCAUUAGCUAGUUGGUAAGGUAACGGCUUACCAAGGCAACGAUGCGUAGCCGACCUGAGAGGGUGAUCGGCCACACUGGAACUGAGACACGGUCCAGACUCCUACGGGAGGCAGCAGUAGGGAAUCUUCCGCAAUGGGCGAAAGCCUGACGGAGCAACGCCGCGUGAGUGAAGAAGGUCUUCGGAUCGUAAAACUCUGUUAUUAGGGAAGAACAAAUGUGUAAGUAACUAUGCACGUCUUGACGGUACCUAAUCAGAAAGCCACGGCUAACUACGUG
rnacentral:rRNA from 1 species